rnacentral:rRNA from 1 species
CGCUCGACAUCAGAGUUUGAUCCUGGCUCAGGAUGAACGCUAGCGGCAGGCUUAACACAUGCAAGUCGAGGGGCAGCGUGAGGGUUAGCAAUAACCCUUGACGGCGACCGGCGCAAGGGUGCGUAACGCGUGAGCAACUUGCCCUUAUCAGGGGGAUAACCGGUGGAAACGCCGACUAAUACCCCACGGCAUUGGUUGGAGGCAUCUCCUUCCAAUUAAAGAGUUUCGGAUAAGGAUAGGCUCGCGUGACAUUAGCUAGACGGCGGGGUAACGGCCCACCGUGGCAACGAUGUCUAGGGGUUCUGAGAGGAAGGUCCCCCACACUGGAACUGAGACACGGUCCAG